rnacentral:rRNA from 1 species
AAAGGCCAAUCAAACCGGGAGAUAGCUGGUUCUCCCCGAAAGCUAUUUAGGUAGCGCCUCGUGAAUUCAUCUCCGGGGGUAGAGCACUGUUUCGGCAAGGGGGUCAUCCCGACUUACCAACCCGAUGCAAACUGCGAAUACCGGAGAAUGUUAUCACGGGAGACACACGGCGGGUGCUAACGUCCGUCGUGAAGAGGGAAACAACCCAGACCGCCAGCUAAGGUCCCAAAGUCAUGGUUAAGUGGGAAACGAUGUGGGAAGGCCCAGACAGCCAGGAUGUUGGCUUAGAAGCAGCCAUCAUUUAAAGAAAGCGUAAUAGCUCACUGGUCGAGUCGGCCUGCGCGGAAGAUGUAACG